rnacentral:lncRNA from 1 species
ACGUGCGCAGAGCACAGAGAGACUAGCUGCAGUUCCAUUACAGAGAGUGCCUUCCUGGUGUUGGGCUUGGAAGUCUCACUCAGAAGGAACAUGGUUGGGUUGGGCCACCUGGGCACAGGAGAAUAGAUAGCUGUGGGCUGCCUUUGACUUCAGCAAGCAGGUGACAAGGGGCUCAGGUGGCCUCCCAUCCUCCUGCGGGCAUUCCUCCAUAAUCGCUGGUCACCCUUUCAGAGUGAUGCUGAUUCCUUUGCUCACAGUAGAACCAGCAUUCCCAGGCUUCUGCUGAUGACGAUGGUCCAGGAAUCCCAGGUUAUCAGGGCCAGGUCAGCGCUGCUGAGGCACACAGCCUUGUGGACAGAGAGAUACCUCUCCGGUGGGAGACGGCCAUUAUAGGACCAUGAUAAGCAACCAGCCUGACUGAAAACAGAAUGACUGCUGUGUACGAAUCCCUUCAGAGCUGGGGACCGAACCCAGGGCCUUGCGCUUCUUAGGUAAGCGCUCUACCACUGAGCUAAAUCCCCAGCCCCCAGGAGCUAUCUAUGAAGCUGUCUACUGAAUAGGUUUCAAUGAGAUUCCCAUGAGCUGAAACACAGUAGGAUCAUAGAAUAAAGCCCAACACAGGGCUGGAGAGAUGUCUCAGCACUGACUGCUUUCCCAGAGGUCCCGAGUUCAAAUCCCAGCAACUACAUGGUGGCUCACAACCACCUGUAAUGAGACCUGAUGUCCUCUUCUGGUGUGAAGACAGCUACAGUGUACGUAUAUAGAAUAAAUAAACAAAACUUUAAAAAAAGCCCAACACACACCACACAUGUACACGCAUAACCUAAAUAUACCCCCACUCCACCAACUACCUCACAUUCCUAUCAUAAACCACCCAUAAGGCGGCACCACCCGCCAGGAAGCCGGCAUUUAAGCAUAGGAGUCAGUAGGGGACAUUUCACUGGAGCCACAGCAGGCCCCAGUUACAAUGUUUCUUUUCACUCAGUCAUUGGUGCUGAAAGAUAUUUUCAGAGGUGUAAACGUGAUUGUAUGGAUGACAGGAGUGUCUGCUAGUUUUGGGGGAGGUAGGUGAGGGGAGGAGAGGCAGGCAGGGGUCAGUGUAUGUCUGUAUAUCACACUCUCCCACUCAGAUGAUCCUAACACCUUGGUGACGACCAUUGAGAUGAUGACAUGGGGUUAAAGCACCAGUGGCCUGCAUGAAAGGGAAGAGCACUGGCCUGGGGCUUUGCCUUUCCUGCCCCAUCUCCAGACUUGGAUGGUCAUGAUAGAUUGCAUCGCCCAGACUCAGACCUAGCCAAGGGCUCGCCAGAGUCACAUAAAUCCCCUCAACUGUAGAGUGACCUUGCCCUCCUGGUCUCUCCCUGUCAGCUAUUUCCUGGACACCUGCUAGCUGGAGCUCUCUGUGCUUUCUUCAGAGACCUCUUCAGACUCAGCCUUGCCCUCUGCCCUGCACUCCUGCCUCCCUCCUCUCCCCUCCCACUUAUGCUCUCUUGCCCCCGUCACUUACCCCGCCUCCCCUGAAGCAUCACCACCUCCACUUGACCCCAAGCUCCUGCACUCUAAACCCCUCUGUCAGUUUUCCAGCUGUCUACCUAGAGUUACAGACAGGUAUAGGCAGGAGGAGACAGCAGGUACCUGGAACUUGUACCUGUGUCUCACGCGAGACAUGGCACCAUAGCAGCAUGCUGGGCUCUGCACCUGGCGGCCUGGCUUGGUUGGGCAUAGAGAGCUACCUCCUAAAUGCCAGGUGCCUUUGGACUCAAGAGUUUCUCAUGGUUCAUGGAGGUUGGCAAAUGACACAGGUUUAAACAUGGGUCACAGCACAUUUUAGAGAAAGAAAAAAAAACCCACCAGGACUGGAAUAUGUCAUGGGAGAGCCAUGAUGAGGUGCAGGGCACUGGUAAUCCAGGCAGAACCCUUGCCUGAACUCCUGCCGUGCUUGUAGAAGAUGAGGUCCCAGAAGGUUGCUGGCACCAUCUUGGGCACUACAUUGCUGCCCAAGGUGAGGAAGGAGAUCUCUGCACUAAAUGUGGUGGUCACACUUAGAUUUGGCUGCUGCAUAAAGGAUCUACAAUGAGCAAUGCGUCUGGUAUGUUGGCAAGAACAGGACGAAUGGAGGUGGGGUGGACCCAGUAUGGAUGGCCAAGUACACUCAGUUUACAGACACAUGGAGUCUGGUCACUGCGGAAGCCUUUAAGGAUUGGCCAGCAGGACCACAGAGGGACCCUUGCUCCCCGGUGUUGAGAUCUUUGCAACGACAGAGAGGGGAGUACUGUGGGUUUUACAGGGCUUUGAAAAAUUGGGAUUUGAAACUUUUAAAACCAUGCAGCAUUUUCUUAGUUGCAAAACAACAAAAAUUACAUAAUUUCAAAGCCCUGCAAGAGGAUGAGGCAAAACCAUGAAUCACUUCCCAUGCCACGGAGUGAGCAAUUGAGCAAAUGUUGCUGGCUGCAUCCAGCUGCUGGGAUACAGUGUUUAUGUUCCCGGGUUCCUAGGCUGUGGGUAUGGGAAGGCCAUCUUAACCUCUUCUGUGUUCUAGUCAUCAAGACAGAAUGGUAUAUUCCACAGCAAGACAAAGACAGCACCCAGAAAUGCAAGCUUCAGCAUGGAGGUUAGCCAAGAAGAUGCAAAGGCACAAGGAAAGAACCUGCCGAGAUGAAAACUAAAAUAUUAAAUUAAAAAUAAAAUAGCCCCAAAGGUCCACACAGCCCCAGCCUUCUUUAAUUUGCAGUGUACCGUGUAAGCUCCCCGAACAGAGCGUUGCUGGGUCUAUCCGAGCCCCCCUUUUCCUUGUCCUAUCCACAAGUGCACCUGUUGAAUGGGCAGCCCAGAGAACAACCAAGGCUGAAGGAGAAAGGUGGAGAGGGGGUGGGAUGUGGCUUCCCACACUGCUCUAAGAAAUCCCAAAGAGGAGGUUAGUUUUAACCUAUGGAACUCAAAUUGCCCCUUGUAGGGGUCCUCUGGCUGAGAAGUGGCCAUCUGUGGAGGUUGAGGCAGAGGGCACUUUGGAAUCUUCCUGUCCUUGUUCCUGGUCUUCAGAUCGCUGCUCCUAAUACUUAUAUAUUGAUGUAUGUAUCACCAGAAAGUACUUGGAUUUUUAUGCUUUGUAGAAAUGACAUGCGAUGUGCAACUUUUGGGGACCUCCUUUUGUUACUUAAUGUUACCCUGCAAGAGCCAUCCACGACGUCGUGUGCACUGUGGUUGCUCCUGAGUGCUCCAACGUGUGAGCUCCUUCCAAGCCUAUACACGGGAGAAACUCCACACCUAUACAAGGACAAAUGCAAUGUGCCAGCCGGAUUCUUUUUUUUUUUCCAGAGCUGGGGACCGAACCCAGGGCCUUGCACUUGCUAGGCAAGCGCUCUACCACUGAGCUAAAUCCCCAACCCCAAGCAGGAUUCUUACAACGGCCUUCUAACCAGAAAGUGUGCUGUCUCCUUUCUCAAGACCCCGCAGAGCGUGGAUGCACUUCCAUGUUCUCACGCGUUAGUUUUUGAGUCAGAACCCUUCGCUGAGCUUUGGGGCUCACGGACUCAGUAGACUGGCUGACUGACCAGCAAGCUCAGGGGACCCUCCUGUCUCCACCUAUCUGGUGAUGGCAUUAUAGGUUUGUGCUCCCACACUCGGGUUCUUGAUGUGGGUCCUGGGGAUUCUGACUUCGGUCACCAAACUGAACCAUGUGUCAUCAUGGCGCUGACUUACACUUCAUGAAUCUAUUCAACCGCCACGUUUCCUCUUCUGGGAAAUACCUGUUGACGGUUUUCACCCACUGUUAUGCUGGGCUGUUGACUUUGUUAAAAUCGAUUUGAGCAGUUCUGUACGGUCUUGGUAGAAGGCCUCUGUGGUUGACGUUAUGAAUGUCUUGUUUCAAUUUCCACCUUGUCUUUUCACUUAAAAUUUUUGUGCGGUGGGCCUGGAGAGAUGGUGCAUCGCUUAAGAGCACUCGAUCUUGCAGAGGACUUGGUUUGAUUCUCAACGCUCACGUGGCAGCUCAUAACCCUCUGUGACACCAGUUCCGGGCCAUCUAACACCUUCUCCUGGCCUCUGUGGACACCGCAUAUACACAGUACAUUGUACGUGCAGGCAGAACACCAUACACAUAUAAUAUAAUAUAAUAUAAUAUAAUAUAAUAUAAUAUAAUAUAAUAAUAUAAAUCCUUAAAA